rnacentral:rRNA from 1 species
CCGUAGGUGAACCUGCGGAAGGAUCAUUAACGAAAGAAUCGCAAGAUUCUAUCUAUCCAUUUACACCUGUGAACUUAUUGGACUUUGCUUUGGUUGGGACAGUUUUGUUCUGGCCAGACUUUUUUCAAAAACACCUUUAUUUUAAAAACAUGUCUGAAAACAUAAUACUAAAAGAUCAAAACUUUCAACAACGGAUCUCUUGGUUCUCGCAUCGAUGAAGAACGCAGCGAAACGCGAUAUGUAAUGUGAAUUGCAGAAUUUUGUGAAUCAUCGAAUCUUUGAACGCACAUUGCGCCCUCUGGUAUUCCGGAGGGCAUACCUGUUUGAGCGUCAUUUCUUUCUCAAACCUCGUGUUUGGUGUUGUCUGGCUACAGCGCAAGUUGUACUGGACGAAAGGAAUUGGCAAGAGCAGUUCUGGGCCGUUUACAACGUAUUAGGUUUUACCAACUCGUUGGCUUUAAUGGAACAGAGCGUACGCUCGGCGUUACAACUAAAUCUUUAACGUUUGACCUCAAAUCAGGCAAGACUACCCGCUGAACUUAAGCAUAUCAAUA